GACGAACGCUGGCGGCGUGCUUAACACAUGCCAGUCGAACGGAAAGGCCCCUUCGGGGGUACUCGAGUGGCGAACGGGUGAGUAACACGUGAGUAACCUGCCCUUGACUUCGGGAUAACUUCAGGAAACUGGGGCUAAUACCGGAUAGGAAUCCUUGCUGCAUGGUGGGGGUUGGAAAGCUUCGGCGGUUUUGGAUGGACUCGCGGCUUAUCAGCUUGUUGGUGGGGUAGUGGCUUACCAAGGCUUUGACGGGUAGCCGGCCUGAGAGGGCGACCGGCCACAUUGGGACUGAGAUACGGCCCAGACUCCUACGGGAGGCAGCAGUGGGGAAUAUUGCACAAUGGGCGGAAGCCUGAUGCAGCAACGCCGCGGGCGGGAUGACGGCCUUCGGGUUGGAAACCGCUUUCAGCGGGGGCGAAGCUUGUGGUGACGGUACCUGCAGAAGAAGCACCGGCUAACUACGUG
rnacentral:rRNA from 1 species